GGGCCGGUAGAACAGUUUGGAAGAUCGUCUGAUUCGCAUUCAGGAGGCCGCGGAUUCAAAUUCCGCCCGGUCCACCA
rnacentral:tRNA from 1 species